GCUGCUGUAGCUCAGGGGUAGAGCGCACCCUUGGUAAGGGUGAGGUCGAGAGUUCAAUUCUCUCCAGCAGCACCA
rnacentral:tRNA from 1 species